rnacentral:rRNA from 1 species
UACGAAGGGUGCAAACGUUGCUCGGAAUCAUUGGGCGUAAAGCGCACGUAGGCGGCCCUGCAAGUCGGAUGUGAAAUCCCUCGGCUCAACCGAGGACGUGCACCCGAAACUGCAGGGCUUGAGUACUGAAGAGGAUCGCGGAAUUCCCGGUGUAGAGGUGAAAUUCGUAGAUAUCGGGAGGAACACCAGUGGCGAAGGCGGCGAUCUGGGCAGAUACUGACGCUGAGGUGCGAAAGCGUGGGGAGCAAACAGG